ACUCGGGUACCACGCACUCUCUCAAUCAAGCUCGGGUACCACGCACUCUCUCAAUUUUAUAACAACAUCAAAACUUCCUCUCUCAAUACAAACUGAAAAACCCAGCUGAUAAACUUCAUUCCCACAGCUACUCUCUCAUCACUCACUCUCUCAAUCUGCCUCACUCUCUCAAUCUCCCUCUCAACUCUCUUUGACUUGGUCAAUCUCGCUAUCAAACUCUCCCACACGCUCUCAAUCUCCCUUUCAGUCUCGCUCUCGCUCUCAUUCUCCGUCUCCCUCUCGCUCUGUUGCUCGGUCUCCCUCUCGCUCUGUUGCUCACGCUCUCGGUCUCCCUCUCACAAGGUUUUGGGCUAUUCCUGAUCCGGAUAAGCUGGAUGAGGAGGCUUCAUCAGUGGAGAAACGUAAAUCAAGAGCUCUUAAUCCCACAGACGACUGUGAGAAGAAGGCAAGUCUGAAGAAUAUUUUUAUCAUAGGCUCCACUGCCUUUGUUAACAAAUAAUAUUCUUCAAAUUAUUACAGGAUGUGAUUGUUCGGACGGGGGACAUACUUUCUCAAGUUUCACAAACACAUGAUGUGAUCAUGAAAACUUUGCUGAUAAUGUUUCACUAAGCCAUCAAAUAUCAGAAGUCUGGGCUGUAAGCAGGAACUUAACUAUUCUUUUACAUGUAAAUUCAGUUAAAUCUAGUUAAGCCAGCUAAUUAAUGUUCCAGAAUAAAUCAGGACCCAAGGAACUAACUGAUCAGAAUUACAUAUUGUUUAGAAUAAAUCAUCUGAUUAAAAUUUAUUCUCUGAGCCUAUGCAGUUUUAAUCCUUUGAUUAAAAUUUCUUCUCUGAGCUUAUUUAGUUUUACUUCUGUAUUUUGCAAAAUCAUAUAGAAGGAUCUCAUGAAUUGUCAACAAAAAGUCAAGUAUACUUUUCAACAGCUGUUGCUAAGUGGGAUGCUGAUUUCUAUAUAAAAGUUGAUGAUGAUGUUCACAUAAAUCUUGGAAUUUUAUCAUUGGUACUUGUUUUAAGAAAAUCUCAAAAAGCUCCAUUUAUUUUUCAAGCAAGCCAAUGGAGGAAGAUGUAUGGAAUGGUGAAACAUGACAUGAAUUUGAGAAAAAGAUGAAAAUACGUACUGUUUCAUGACCUUGUAAUUUAUAUUAAGAGGCCAGCAUUUUACAUAGAGGAGUGGCACUUCAAGAACAAGCCUAUUAUCGUGGUGAUGAACCCAAAAGGGAAGAUGGAGUGCCCAAAUGCAAUCCAUAUGAUUUGGGUAUGGGGAAUGAGGGCCUUUCCUUUCAGUAGCUCUGUUGAAGAAGCUCUGUCAAAUGGAAGAGACUGGAUGGGAUCCAUAGUGAGCAGACACUUAGCCGUGAUGUUUAUCGUCUUGGACGUCGAUUUGACUUCUAUAGGACGUCUUGUAUUGCUACUAAAUAAUGUUAUUAUGUUUAAGACUUUUCUUUUUAUGCUAAUAUAGUGUUUAAGAUUUUUUUGGUUAGUAACCAAUGCCACUAGUAUGAGGGUGGGUGUGUGUUUGAGACUUGAGUAAUGCUUCAAAAAAAGACAUCUUGAUUAAUUUGGUGA